rnacentral:ncRNA from 1 species
GGAAUACGGUUCCAAUUCCGUAACCUGUCUGUAGUAUACGCGUUUGUUAUUAAAUAUGGGCCUCGUGCUCAUCCUGGCAACAGGAACGACCAUAAAGAAGCCGUCGAGAGAUAUCGGAAGAGUUUUCUUUUCUGUUUUAUAGCCGUACUACCAUGGAAGUCUUUCGCAGAGAGAUAUGGUAGAUGGGCUAGAAGAGCAUGACAUAUACUGUUGUGUCGAUAUUUUCUCCUCGGACCUUGAAAAUUUAUGGUGGGGACACGCAAACUUCUCAACAGGCCGUACCAAUAUCCGCAGCUGGUCUCGAAGGUGAAGAGUCUCUAGUCGAUAGAAUAAUGUAGGUAAGGGAAGUCGGCAAAUUAGAUCCGUAACUUCGGGAUAAGGAUUGGCUCUGAAGAUUGAGAUAGUCGGGCUUGAUUGGGAAACAAUAACAUGGUUUAUGUGCUCGUUCUGGGUAAAUAGAGUUUCUAGCAUUUAUGUUAGUUACUUGUUCCCCGGAUAGUUUAGUUACGUAGCCAAUUGUGGAACUUUCUUGCUAAAAUUUUUAAGAAUACUAUUUGGGUUAAACCAAUUAGUUCUUAUCAAUUAUAACGAUUAUCAAUUAACAAUCAAUUCAGAACUGGCACGGACUUGGGGAAUCCGACUGUCUAAUUAAAACAAAGCAUUGUGAUGGCCCUAGCGGGUGUUGACACAAUGUGAUUUCUGCCCAGUGCUCUGAAUGUCAAAGUGAAGAAAUUCAAGUAAGCGCGGGUCAACGGCGGGAGUAACUAUGACUCUCUUAAGGUAGCCAAAUGCCUCGUCAUCUAAUUAGUGACGCGCAUGAAUGGAUUAACGAGAUUCCUACUGUCCUGUCGUACUGUCGUGUACAGAUUGCGAAGAACUUGGUUUUCCGU